rnacentral:rRNA from 1 species
AUACGGAGGAUCCGAGCGUUAUCCGGAUUUAUUGGGUUUAAAGGGAGCGUAGGUGGACAGUUAAGUCAGUUGUGAAAGUUUGCGGCUCAACCGUAAAAUUGCAGUUGAUACUGGUUGUCUUGAGUACAGUAGAGGUGGCGGAAUUCGUGGUGUAGCGGUGAAAUGCUUAGAUAUCACGAAGAACUCCGAUUGCGAAGGCAGCUCACUGGACUGCAACUGACACUGAUGCUCGAAAGUGUGGGUAUCAAACAGGAUUAGAUACCCUGGUAGUCCACACAGUAAACGAUGAAUACUCGCUGUUUGCGAUAUACAGUAAGCGGCCAAGCGAAAGCAUUAAGUAUUCCACCUGGGGAGUACGCCGGCAACGGUGAAACUCAAAGGAAUUGACGGGG